ensembl:lncRNA
UUAUUGUGAAUUUUGCAAAGACACAUUUAAGCAACAAAAUAUACAUUUGUGAACCUUUAGUUUUAUACAUAACAAAUACAGUCUGCUACCAUAGCAAUAAAUUAAAUGUACAUUAUUUACAACAGACAUAGGCCACCAGGAACUACAAAGCACCGCCUCUCUACAUAAAAAAUAAACUCUGUCAGAUACAUUUCUUCAAGAUAUAUUUUCACUCUAUAAACUCUCUUCACAUUCUAACGAUUUAAAUCCAGCAUUUCCCUUUGCAGGAUAUACGCAGUGCUACAUUCGUUAAAACAUAAUGCAAGCAUGCUCUGGGACAGGGAAUGACGGACCCGGCCAGCUCCAGUGAGCAGCAAAGCAACAUGAGCACGAGGUGCGACCCGCGAGGUGCUGAGCUCUGACCUGACGGUGGUUUAAAGCAGUUAUCGAUGCUCAGCACCUCCUGCAGCCAAACCAGAGACAGCCCAGACACCUCAGCCCCGGUCAACAAGCCCAUCCAUGCCAGCGCGUAUCCCGGCCCCUUCCCCUGCCACUCCUGAAGACCCUCAAAGCUCUGGAAAGAAACUGAGUUUGUGCUUCAGAUCCCCUCUUUUGCUCACAAAAAAAGCACUUUCAUGUUGUGCUUAAGUGUAAUCCUGUGCUUGGCUCUGUGGGGUAUCAAGAGGGUGCAAGUACGUGCCAAGAGCUUUCCUGAAUAAAGCCCAGCCAGAGCAGCAACUCAGACCAGUCCCCGGCCUCACACAGGAGAUGCUGGUGAUGGGGAUCCAGGUUCCCCCUGCCUGCAGCACCAGCACCGUGGGUAUGGACCCAGACCCAACCUGCCUCUGCCUCUCACCAGGCUCAUGAACUGGCCCAGGCCAAGCACAGCCAGGCUGCAGCAGGAGCAGGGGGGACUGAAACCCUGGCAAGGAGGGGAGCAGCUCCCCACAACAGGAGAGACCCCCCAACACAUCUGGGGGCUUCCCUGGUGCCCCCCAACCACAUUCCUGAGCCCCUUCUGCUCCCUGUGCAAAGUCACUUUUGAGUCCUAUAGAAGUUAUGUGUAUAACGGUGGGGAUCAGAAAGGAAAAUGCACUGGCCAAUACUGUUAGUGUCAGUUAAGGAUCCUUUCUUUUUUUUAUAUAUAUAUUAUAUAUAUAUAAAAUCCCUUUUAUAUAUGUAUAUAUGUGUGUGUGUCACUUAUAAGCACAAAACGUUUUGCAGUAUAUAUACAGGAACACCUUCACCCACUGCUGGAAGUGCAAACACCUCUGAAGUUUAACACAACCACCGGUCAGCCCCAGCACCACCAUGAGACAACCUGGCACAGCUCAGGGCUGAAAGGUGCACACCACGCACACGUGGCUGCAGGGAGCACAGACAGAAACCACGCCACAGCCCAGCCAGGUCAUGAGCGGUAGGGCCCAGGGGCUGUUAAGGGUGCUGCAGCGGGUUUGUGCAACCCAUUGUGAGGAUCCUGCUGAAAACAUUCUAGAUCAUGCAGGAGCCGCUGGCAAACCCAGUGCCAGACCUCAGCUCCCAGCCCCACUGCUGAGGGAAGGACAAGCCCCACGCACUGCAUCUCUCUCCCUGAAGCUUCACACUGUCCUGCCUGCCUGUAAACCCAUUAGAAUAGUUCUACAGAUCA